rnacentral:rRNA from 1 species
CCUACGGGGUGCAGCAGUGGGGAAUAUUGGGCAAUGGGCGCAAGCCUGACCCAGCAAUGCCGCGUGAAGGAAGAAGGCUUUCGGGUUGUAAACUUCUUUGACAGGGGAAGAGCUGAAGACGGUACCCUGAAAACAAGCCACGGCUAACUACGUGCCAGCAGCCGCGGUAAUACGUAGGUGGCAAGCGUUGUCCGGAUUUACUGGGUGUAAAGGGCGUGUAGCCGGGAAGGCAAGUCAGAUGUGAAAUCUGGAGGCUCAACCUCCAAAUUGCAUUUGAAACUGUUUUUCUUGAGUACUGGAGAGGCAGACGGAAUUCCUUGUGUAGCGGUGAAAUGCGUAGAUAUAAGGAGGAACACCAGUGGCGAAGGCGGUCUGCUGGACAGCAACUGACGGUGAGGCGCGAAAGCGUGGGGAGCAAACAGGAUUAGAUACCCUAGUAGUC